UACACAACUUUCGGCAACGGAUCUCUUGGUUCUCGCAUCGAUGAAGAAGGCAGCA
rnacentral:rRNA from 1 species